rnacentral:lncRNA from 1 species
GAUUCAUCUAUAAAGUGAAUGCUGUAAGGAGAUCCCUAUGGAGGCUAAUGAGAGACUAACUCAUUGUGAAGGAAGUUUGUGGCUUACUUGGGUCCUGCAAGAGCCUUUCCCUUCUUUUCAGCAGGAACGCCAGGACAAAGUCCUCCCCUUCGUUGUGCCAGUGCCCCAGGCUAUGGUCUAUGAGACCAUGCCCUACCCUGUCCUCGCUCCAAACUUCCUGCCAGUAGCUCAGCCUCCCGUGGUGCCCGCUGUUGUUCCUGUCCUUCAACCUGAAAUAAUGGAAAACCUCAAGGCUCAGGAGACCUCCAUCCCCAAAAGGAAGCCGAUGCCCUUCCUGCCAUCUCCAACACCGCUGCCCGACAUUGGCCCUCAGAUUCCAAACCAGCCCCUUCUCGUGCCUCAGCUCCAGCCGGCGGUGCACCAGGUCCCGCAGGUGAUCCUGCAGCCUUUCCCUCAGGUGGCGCCUCUGGUUCCUGCGCAGCCGCAGCUGCUCUCUGUGGAGCCCACAGUUCCGCGCGCUCCCCAGCACGUGCAGCCCACCCAGGGGCUGCAGCUCUACCGGGCUCUGCAGCCUGUGACCGCACUGCACGCCCCUGCGACUCAGCCCCUCGCCCAGGACUAUGCACACGUCAUCGUCUAAGAGGAUUUUGAAGUCAAUGCUGCCACCUCAUUUUUGAAUUGACUGAGACUGGAAAUGUGGCAUCUAUUCUUUGUAUCAUAUUACCAAAAAUCACUUAUUUUUAAGUGAAUCUACAUAAAAAAUAAAACUUUAUUCUUUUGUUAAUUUUAGCUAUUAUAUGGCAUUCAUUUAAUUUGAAUUUGACUGAUGAACUCUUUACCUUUUCCAAAUUGUAAAUUCAGUAUUUGAACUGGAAAUACUCUAAACACAUCAAAAAUGUUAUACACAUUUCUGGAAUUGGAUUUGCUAUUAUUUCUUUAAGAAC